ACACCGGCGGCCCGAGUGGUGAUCGUGAUUAUUGGGUCUAAAGGGUCCGUAGCCGGUUUGGUCAGUCCUCCGGGAAAUCUGAUAGCUCAACUAUUAGGCUUUCGGGGGAUACUGCCAGACUUGGAACAGGGUGAGGUAAGAGGUACUACAGGGGUAGGAGGGAAAGCUUGGAAUCCCUGUGGGACCACCUGUGGCGAAGGCGGCUUACCAGAACGGGUUCGACGGUGAGGGACGAAAGCUGGGGGCACGAACCGGAUUAGAUACCCGGGUAGUCCCAGCCGUAAACGAUGCUCGCUAGGUGUCAGGCAUGGCGCGACCGUGUCUGGUGCCGCAGGGAAGCCGUGAAGCGAGCCACCUGGGAAGUACGGCCGCAAGGCUGAAACUUAAAGGAAUUGGCGGGG
rnacentral:rRNA from 1 species